AGGUAAUCUUUCCAUAGACCAGCAAUCAGUAAAAUCCAACGUCUCCAAGGAUUCCAAUCCAUCAAGGGCUUGAAUCUCCUUUAGAUCGAUGCACCCAGCAGUGGAUAGAUGCUUCAAGUUUCUCAAGUUGGAGAGAUCCGGUAAUCUUUCUAUACACUCGCAUCCAGUAAAAUCCAACAUCUCCAAGGAUUCCAAUCCACCAAGGCCUUGAAUCUCCUUUAGAUUGACACACCCGGCAGUGGAUAGAUGCUUCAAGUUUCUCAAGUUGGAGAGAUCCGUUACUCUUUCCAUAGAUUUGCAAUUAUUUAAUUCCAACCUCUCCAAGGAUUCCAAUCCA